rnacentral:rRNA from 1 species
UACGUAGGGGGCGAGCGUUGUCCGGAUUUAUUGGGCGUAAAGAGCUCGUAGGCGGUUGGGUAAGUCGGGUGUGAAAACUCAGGGCUCAACUCUGAGACGCCACUCGAUACUGCCCUGACUCGAGUCCGGUAGGGGAGCGUGGAAUUCCCGGUGUAGCGGUGAAAUGCGUAGGGAUCGGGAGGAACACCUGUGGCGAAGGCGGCCGUCUGGGCCGACCCUGACGCUGAGGCGCGAAGGCGUGGGGAGCGAACGGG